rnacentral:lncRNA from 1 species
ACAUGAGUGAAGUUCUAACAGAACAUAAAGACCAACUUUGAAUAAAAUUACCAAAUUAUACACUUUUGCAAAAAUAUCUCAAUAUAGAUAAGCUAAAAAGACAUUAUUCGGGAAGAACUAAUCCAAUUUGGAAAGGACAAUGUCUUCUGUCAAAAAACAGAGUUGGCUUACUGCAUAUUGUAAUAAAAGAUGCCACCUUCCAUGAUGCCAUUGAUGCUAAUAAAUAUCAGAGCUCAUCCUUGUCAUUAGAUCCUACAAUAGAACCAAAAGAGGAGUAUCUUUUAAUUCAAUCCAAAUUUCAUAGCUAUAAAACUAGUUAGGUUGCCCACAUAAGAACAACCAUAUUUCCAACUUGUGCAACUAAACUUUUGGGUGUUUUGACUUAUAGAUCACAAUCUUUGUAAACUUUUAUUUCAAACUUUUGAGUAAGGCAUGAACCAACAACUAUCUAACAUCAAACUAAGUUUUUCAUAGCUAUUUAGGCCAUCUGCGGCUGCUUUAAAGCCAGCUAAACUGUUAUGAACUUUGAUCUUAUUAUACAUUUUAAUCACAAAAUGACAAAUGCAGGUUUAAAUUGCAGAUUCAUGAGAUGAAGUAGUUUUCUAGUACAGGAUCUACUUCCUACAAAAAAAAUAUGCACAAAAAUAAAUCUAGGAAGGAUCUAGAAGUCAUGUUCAAUAAAUUCUUGCUGAGAAUCUCACAUGAAUAGGACUUCGGUGCUAAAAACUCUAAAAUUUCUCAUGUGAAGGCAAUUGUGUUAUACCAGUUUAAUUACGAUACAAGAAAAUGGUUUGAAGACACGGAUUAUUAAAAAGAAGGAUACAACAAUUUUGGAAAAAUAACAGACAAAAUUCAGAAAGAAGAAUAUAAAUUAUGGAAACAAAGUUAAAAUAGCAGCAAAUUUUGUACAUAAUUAAACGUGAGUGAAGUUCUAAAAUAACAUAAAGACCAACUUUGAAUAAAAUUAUCAAAUUAUACACUUUUGCAAAAAAAUCUCAAUAUAGAUAAGCUAAAAAGACAUUAUUCGGGAAGAACUAAUCCAAUUUGGAAUGGACAAGGUCUUCUGUCAAAAACAGAGUUGGCUUACUGCAUAUUGUAAUAAAAGAUGCCACCUACCAUGAUGACAUUGAUGCUAAUAAAUACCAGAGCUCAUAUUUGUCAUUUGAUCCUACAAUAGUACCAAAAGAGGAGUAUCUUUUAAUUCAAUCCAAAUUUCAUAGCUAUAAACCUAGUUAGGUUGCCGACACAAGAACAACCAUAUUUCCUACUUAUGCAACUAAACUUUUGGGUGUUUUGACUUAUAAAUCACAAUCUUUGUAAACUUUUAUUUCAUGCUUUUGAGUAAGGCAUGAACCAACAACUAUCUAUCAUCAAACUAUGUUUUUCAUAGCUAUUUAGGCUAUUUGCGGCUGCUUUAAAGCCAGCUAAAUUGUUCUGAACUUUGAUCGUAUGAUACAGUUUAAUCAGAAAAUGACAAAUGCAGGUUUAAAUUGCAGAUUCAUUAGAUGCAGUAGUUUUCUAGUAAAGGAACUACUUCCUACAAAAAAAAUAUGCACAAAAAUAAUUCUAGGAAGGAUCUAGAUGUCAUGUUCAAUAAAUUUUUGCUGAAAAUCUCAAAUGAAUAGGACUUCUGUGCUAAAAACUCUAAAAUUUCUCUUGUGAAAACAUGAUUUGUAGACUCACGGAGUAUUAAAAAGUGGGCUACAACAAUUUUGGAAAAAUAACAGACAAAAUUCAGAAAGAAGAAUAUCAAUAAUGGAUACGAAGUUAAAAUAACAGCAAAUUUUGUACAUAAUUAAACAUGAGUGAAGUUCUAAAAUAACAUAAAGACCAACUUUGAAUAAAAUUACCAAAUUAUACACUUUUGCAAAAAUAUCUCAAUAUAGAUAAGCUAAAAAGACAUUAUUCAGGAAGAACUAAUCAAAUUUGGAAAGAACAAGGUCGUCUGCAAAAAACAGAGUUGGAUUACUGCAUAUUGUAAUAAAAGAUGCCACCUUCCAUGAUGACAUUGAUGCUAAUAAAUACCAGAGCUCAUCCUUGUCAUUUGAUCCUACAAUAGAAUCAAAAGAGGAGUAUCUUUUAAUUCAAUCCAAAUUUCAUGGCUAUAAAC